UGGGGAAUAUUGCACAAUGGGCGCAAGCCUGAUGCAGCGACGCCGCGUGGGGGAUGAAGGCCUUCGGGUUGUAAACUCCUUUCGCUAUCGACGAAGCCACUUGUGGUGACGGUAGGUAGAUAAGAAGCACCGGCUAACUACGUG
rnacentral:rRNA from 1 species